CUGGAGCCAAACCAGUGGCUCUGCUGGGAUCACUGGUGAGCCAACACUUCCUUGUUGAUGCAGAUUUCAGGGCUUCCUUUUGCUCCUCCGUUAUAACUGUUCUCUCUUCUCAACACAUGAUGACACAAAGGAAUCAGCAGUGACAAAGAUGAUGCUGAAGAGAAGCACACACUUCACACAUAUAACAGACCAGUGCAGUUACACACACCUCUGCUCGACAUCAGGCCUCAAACAAAGACACAAAACACUAACUUGACUCUAAACAGAAGAAACGAGCAGCUGUUUCUGUUCUGUGCUUAUUUAUAUUUGACACACAUGCUUCUCUUUGUGCAAACACACAUCGCACUAUAAGGGUAACCUAGCACACAAUGAUUGGACAGCACAGUGAUGAUGCUGGGAGAUCCUAUACGCAGCAACACAGAAACACUGAGAACUUUAAACAUUGAUUAUAUUGAGAUCAGCAGCCGACCCAGUCUAGAUAAAGGCGAGCAGCUGGGACCGCUGCUGCACCACAAACAGGUUUCAGUGUUUCCAUGUGUGUGUGUGAUGUCUUUACUUAUACUGGUCAAUAGACUUUAGUCAACACAUCAUUGAAAGGUGUUACACAUGAAAUAAAAACAGUGUUUGUUCCUCUGAAGCAGCUGCAUUAUAACCAAUCUGCUCCUUUGUGGCCGUUUAAAACAGCCUUAAUAAACAGCACACAGUGGUCCCGCUUUUCAUCCGUCACUGCUUCGCUUUUUCGCUGAGUUUUUAUUGCACAGUGCAGCAUUGCAUUCUGCAGCCUGAUUGACAAAUCUCCUCCGUGUCGUGUCUCCUGCGCUUGCCAAAUUUAUCACGUUUGGUUUUGAUAACCAUCACGUCCAAUAGAAAAAACAGCACAAAAACACCCAUAACUAUGAGCUUCAUUCGGAAAUAGACACCUGGGAAAAAGGCGCACGAAAGUGGCAGCCAGAUGAAGACAAAACGCGGGUACGGCGAGGACGUCCUUUACGCCGCUGCUCUGCUCUCCACAGUAAAUAGAGAAAGGAGACUCUCUCUUCAAACGCUAGCUCGACAGCUGCCAUCUAGCAAAGAUACCAUCUGGCACAACUUCCUCCCACGUUCCUCCCACAUUUCCGGUUCACGCACGUCAAAAUUGCAUAUUUUGACACGCGAUGAAUUUGCAAUGAAUUCGCGUUGGACACGCGUCGAUGUGCGAAUUUGCACGCGUCAAGUUAGGGGCGUCUGGCGCGUUUUGAUCACGUCUAUCACGUUCAGUGUGAACACACCGUAAAAUACCACAGCUCUAAGAUGGAGGCUGAUUAGAAGCAGAUGGCAGAGCGAUCAAGUGCAGGUGAGGCCACAGCUGUGCGGAGGAGCCUCCGGGUGGAAGGCCCUCCGAGCCACGCCCUCCCCGGAAGCGCGAACUUCCGUAAACAAACCCCGCGGCUGGGAGAGAGGAGAAACAGGGAGAGAAUACACACAAAGGUGAGGUCAUGUAGUUUGAUUACCAGUCUGGCAGGGAUUAUGGUGUUAAAAGCCGAGCUAAAAUCAGUAAAGACAAGGCUGAUGUAACUGUCCUGUGAGUGAGCUACGGUUGUAUGGAGGGCUAUGGCAUCCUGAACUGUUCUUCCUGUGAACUGAGGAUCGAAUGUGUGAGUUCUGACCAGUUUCUCGAGACACUUCGAGAUGACUGGAGUAAGACCCACUGGCUCUGCGAGGCGCUAGAAAACUAAAUGAAAUGUUUAUUAAGGGAGAAAUGUUUCAGGAACCUGGGUUGGUAGUUUAUCUGAAGCAACAUCACAUCAGAAACACUCCCACCUCUGACCCAACUACCCAACCACAGCAGAGCGCUACUCUGGCAGGUCCAGCGUCAGCACCUGUAAACUGUCAGUGUUGAUUGGUCCGGGUCCAACAAACUGGUGGUUGGUAACCAGCAACAGCACUUCAGUGACGGGCACAAGAAGCUCUCUUUAAAAAGAAGAGUGAGGAGGUGCAGAAGGAGCUGCCUCCAGUCUGUAAGUGCUUCUGAACGUUAGCACUGCUAACACCUGCCUGCCCCACUGCCCACCCCGGAUCCUUACAGACUUACUCUCUGGACGCUCCCUGUUGCUCUCCCAGAUCUCUUACCCCUCCAUGCCUCGCCUGCUCCCGCAAAGAAUGACUUUGAGAAUUUUCUGCCUCCUAAUUCCUCGCUGGCCACAUCUCUCGGUUCCUGCACUGGACGUUACCCGGUGUCAGGUUCCUCACUCAGGUCUGCGAGAGCCCCAAGACUCCCUCAUGGACCCCACCUCCCAGUUAGACACAGUGGUUACAAAGCACCCUGUUUCUCAGUCUGUGUUGUGUUGCCUGUAAGCAUCAAUGUGUCAUAGAGGCACUCGAGCAGUCUCAUAGAAGUGAGGUAGCGCUCACAGUAAAGUGUUUGUAUUCUCAUGUUAGUGUUCUCAUUGAAGAAGUCAAGCUGAGCUCACAGUAUAGUAGUGGUACGCUCAUUCUCAGAAGUCAGGCUGUGUUUUCACUUUAGUAGUUCUAUACUCGUUCACAGCAAUUCUCAGAAAGGUUUAAGUUAUUGAAUUAUUUCCCGCUUAAUCGUUGUGUUUUGUAAUUAUUGCAUUCUUGUUCACUUUGUGUUUUCUCUCAGACUCUGUUUGCUUCGCUCAUACGCUCUGCGUCUCUGAGUGGUUUUCACAUCUGAGUCCAUUCACCUGUGUCUAGCUUUCUGGCUGUGACAUGAAGCGCCCAUGAUUCCCAGUAAAAGACUUCUACAAGAAAUAUGUGUUCAGUCUGUGUGCAUGUCUGUGUGUUUAAAGUCUGCAUAAAGAUGAUACAGGUUCAUCCACAGUGUUAGGUCCAUGUUCAUGUGCAUUAUUCUAGUGGAGAGCGACAG